rnacentral:misc_RNA from 1 species
GUGGAUGAGCUCAUUGAGAAGGCUGAUGGAUUUGCUGGAGUCUUUCCUGAGCACAAGUAUGAGAUUGUUAGGAAGCUCCAAGAGAGGAAGCACAUUUGUGGUAUGACAGGAGAUGGUGUGAAUGAUGCCCCUGCACUGAAGAAAGCAGACAUUGGUAUAGCUGUGGCAGAUGCAACUGAUGCUGCUAGGAGUGCUUCAGACAUUGUUUUGACAGAGCCAGGAUUAAGUGUGAUUGUUAGUGCUGUAUUAACAAGUAGAGCCAUCUUUCAAAGAAUGAAGAACUACACAAUCUAUGCUGUUUCCAUCACAAUUCGUAUUGUGAUGGGAUUCAUGCUCGUUGCACUUAUUUGGAAAUUCGACUUCUCGCCAUUCAUGGUCUUAAUCAUUGCUAUUCUCAAUGAUGGCACCAUUAUGACCAUCUCCAAGGACCGAGUCAAGCCAUCUCCUAUGCCUGACUCUUGGAAGCUCAAGGAAAUUUUUGCCACAGGCAUUAUUCUUGGAACCUAUCUGGCAAUCAUGACUGUGAUAUUCUUUUAUCUUGCUCAUGACACUGACUUCUUCCCACAAAAAUUCGGAGUGAAGACAAUCAAAGGUAUACAUGCUGAGCUUACAGCUGCUCUUUACCUUCAAGUAAGCAUUAUCAGUCAAGCACUCAUCUUCGUUACUCGAUCAAGGAGUUGGUCCUUCAUGGAACGUCCUGGUAUCCUACUUGUUAGCGCUUUCAUAGUAGCACAAUUGGUGGCUACAAUUAUUGCUGUAUAUGCAAGCUGGGGCUUUGCAAAAAUUGAAGGCAUUGGUUGGGGUUGGGCAGGAAUAAUAUGGCUUUACAGUAUUAUCACCUAUAUCCCUCUUGAUAUCCUUAAGUUCAUGAUUCGUUUUGCAUUAACUGGGAAGGCCUGGGAUAACCUGCUGCAGAACAAGACUGCUUUCACGACCAAGAAAGACUAUGGAAAGGGUGAGAGGGAAGCACAGUGGGCUGCUGCUCAACGUACGCUUAGUGGUCUCCAACAAGCAGAUGGUAUAACUCAUGACAAGGCUACCUAUAAAGAAUUAACAGAGCUUGCAGAGCAGGCUAAGAAGCGUGCUGAAGUAGCAAGAUUAAGGGAGCUUCACACAUUGAAAGGGCAUGUUGAGUCAGUGGUGAAGCUAAAGGGACUUGACAUUGAGACCAUCCAACAACACUACACAGUUUAAGGCAUUGAAGGAGCUAGUCCAUAACAAGGAACAUAGAGCAACUGUGAUGGAAAUGGGGGAAGUUUUAGGGGAAAGAGAAUUUGAAGAAUGAAUAAGCUAAUCUUAAUCUUUUGUCAAUUUAGUAUUUCCUCUAUUCAUUGUUAGGAUGAGAUUUGUUGUAGCUGAUAUUGAAGAAGACAAUAAAAUGAGAUUUGUUGUAGCUGAUAUUGAAGAAGACAAUAAA